GUUUCCGUAGUGUAGUGGUUAUCACGUUUGCCUUACACGCGGAAGGUCCCCGUUUCGAGACCGGGCGGAAACA
rfam:Gasterosteus aculeatus cont1.016224, whole genome shotgun sequence.